UUUUUAUUUUUAUGAGUUAUGAGUUAUUAUUAAGUAAAUAUUUUCAGGUGUUGCAGCAGACCGGUGGACUCCACAAUGCCAACAAGUCUGAAGCAUCUGGUUUCUGUUACGUUAACGACAUCGUCCUGGCCAUUCUUGAGCUGCUCAAGACACUGGGGCUGGAAAGAGCAAAUACUAGGCAGUGAAUUACCCACGAAGCCAUCUAUAAAGCUGUGUGUUUUACUGUCAUAGCCAAAGUAAUGGAGAUGUACCAGCUGAGCGCAGUGGUCCACUUCCCAAGAAUGACAUUUGAUUGCAGUUUCAGCCACGGGAAGUCUGAGCCCAUGACCAAAGAAUAGCCUGUGAGGAGGUCACAGGAAUGCUGCCAACCCAGUGAAAAGGGAAGCAGAAGAGGGGUAACCUGUGGAUGAUUGACUACAGCCAGAACAAGUAGUGUUAUAGUAUUUACUUAUCUGUCUUUGCAAAAGAGAUGGAAGAGAAGGACCUUCGUUGAAUCCUGUGAGUACAUGUUGUUGACAGAACUAGCGUUGUAUGUAAUCCCUCCAUCUUUAGCUGAAGUGUUAAAGUAAAGCUAAGAAUUACUGUUGUAAUUUGACAUGUAUCGUUUUUAAAUGGGUAUCUACAGACUUUGUGAUUGUAUAUUUUGUGAAUGUGAAGUUUUGCUAUUAAGAGUCAAAAGUUAUUUCACUCAUUGUGUUUUUUUUAACUUACUGCUUACUUUUUACAAAACUAACAAAAUAAAAAAAUUGAAAAAAAAUGUUUUUGUUCUUUUCCUUUACCCUUAUCCUUAUCCUUGACUUUGACUGACAAUGCACGCCUAAAAAGGCAAUGCAAAACUCAUUCAUAUUCAAAUAUUUGGAAAGGAGUGGUCCAACAGGUUCCUUUAUUCUGGAAUAUUUACAACAGUCAAAUACAGCUCACAAUGAAAGUGACUAGCAUUAAGGCACAACGAAGUUUUACAUAACUAUACUAAAAAAACAACCUUUUUUUAAUUUUUUUCCCUUUUUCCCUAAAGAAGACAAGGCUUACGCUGGAAGGUUUACAGCAGUCAAAUACGGCACACAAUUAAUUUUUUCAUUAACUAACAAAAAAAAAACAAGUCCAAAAAGUUUCUUUCUUCACCUUUAGAAGAAGCUUCACAACUCUUAAGUCAAAUACAGCUCACAAUAAAAGUGACUAUCAGGCAAGCCCUGAAAAAAGGGACAAAUCCGAAAGAAAAAAAAAUCAGACAAAAAAAAAAA